AGAGUUUGAUCCUGGCGUCAGGAUGAACGCUGGCGGCGUGCUUAACACAUGCAAGUCGAACGAAGCACUUAGGAAAGAUUCUUCGGAUGAAAGCCUUUGUGACUGAGUGGCGGACGGGUGAGUAACGCGUGGGUAACCUACCUCAUACAGGGGGAUAACAGUUGGAAACGACCGCUAAUACCGCAUAACCCGCUAGUAUCGCAUGAUACAGACGGAAAAGAUUUAUCGGUAUGAGAUGGACCCGCGUCUGAUUAGCCAGUUGGCAGGGUAACGGCCUACCAAAGCAACGAUCAGUAGCCGGCCUGAGAGGGUGAACGGCCACAUUGGGACUGAGACACGGCCCAAACUCCUACGGGAGGCAGCAGUGGGGAAUAUUGCACAAUGGGGGGAAACCCUGAUGCAGCGACGCCGCGUGAGUGAGGAAGUAUUUCGGUAUGUAAAGCUCUAUCAGCAGGGAAGAAAAUGACGGUACCUGACUAAGAAGCCCCGGCUAACUACGUG
rnacentral:rRNA from 1 species